rnacentral:rRNA from 1 species
UUGAAGAGUUUGAUCAUGGCUCAGAUUGAACGCUGGCGGCAGGCCUAACACAUGCAAGUCGAGCGGUAGAGAGAAGCUUGCUUCUCUUGAGAGCGGCGGACGGGUGAGUAAUGCAUAGGAAACUGCCCAGUAGUGGGGGAUAGCCCGGGGAAACCCGGAUUAAUACCGCAUGAUCUCGCAAGAGCAAAGUGGGGGAUCGCAAGACCUCACGCUUUUAGAGGAACCUACGUCGGAUUAGCUUGUUGGUGAGGUAACGGCUCACCAAGGCGACGAUGCGUAGCCGACCUGAG